rnacentral:rRNA from 1 species
GACAGAGGGGGCAAGCGUUGCUCGGAAUUACUGGGCGUAAAGGGCGCGUAGGCGGGAUGGCAAGUCGGUCGUGAAAUCCCUCGGCUCAACUGAGGAUCGUCGAUCGAUACUGCCGUUCUUGAGGAUUGCAGAGGAGACUGGAAUUCCCGGUGUAGCGGUGAAAUGCGUAGAUAUCAAGAGGAACACCUGCGGCGAAGGCGGGUUGCUGGGCCGACACUGACGCUGAGGCGCGAAAGCCAGGGGAGCGAACGGG